GAUGAACGCUGGCGGCGUGCCUAAUACAUGCAAGUCGAGCGAACGGACGAGAAGCUUGCUUCUCUGAUGUUAGCGGCGGACGGGUGAGUAACACGUGGAUAACCUGCCUAUAAGACUGGGAUAACUUCGGGAAACCGGAGCUAAUACCGGAUAAUAUUUUGAACCGCAUGGUUCAAAAGUGAAAGACGGUCUUGCUGUCACCUAUAGGUGGAUCCGCGCUGCAUUAGGUAGUUGGUAAGGUAACGGAUUACCAAGGCAACGAUGCAUAGCCGACCUGAGAGGUUGAUCGGCCACACUGGACCUGAGACACGGUCCAGACUCCUACGGGAGGCAGCAGUAGGGAAUCUUCCGCAAUGGGCGAAAGCCUGACGGAGCAACGCCGCGUGAGUUAUGAAGUUCUUCGGAUCGUAAAACUCUGUUAUUAGGAAAGAACAUAUGUGUAAGUAACUGUGCACACCUUGACGGUACCUAAUCAGAAAGCCACGGCUAACUACGUG
rnacentral:rRNA from 1 species